UACGUAGGGAGCAAGCGUUGUCCGGAAUCAUUGGGCGUAAAGCGCGCGUAGGUGGCCCCAUAAGUCCGCUGUGAAAGUCAAAGGCUCAACCUUUGAAAGCCGGUGGAUACUGUGGGACUAGAGUACGGAAGAGGCGAGUGGAAUUCCUGGUGUAGACGGUGGAAUGCGCAGAUAUCAGGAGGAACACCGAUUGCGAAGGCAGCUCGCUGGGACGUUACUGACGCUGAGACGCGAAAGCGUGGGGAGCAAACAGG
rnacentral:rRNA from 1 species